AACGAACGCUGGCGGCAUGCCUAACACAUGCAAGUCGAACGAUGCUUUCGGGCAUAGUGGCGCACGGGUGCGUAACGCGUGGGAAUCUGCCCUUGGGUUCGGAAUAACAGUGAGAAAUUGCUGCUAAUACCGGAUGAUGUCUUCGGACCAAAGAUUUAUCGCCCAGGGAUGAGCCCGCGUAGGAUUAGCUAGUUGGUGGGGUAAUGGCCUACCAAGGCGACGAUCCUUAGCUGGUCUGAGAGGAUGAUCAGCCACACUGGGACUGAGACACGGCCCAGACUCCUACGGGAGGCAGCAGUGGGGAAUAUUGGACAAGGGGCGCAAGCCUGAGCCAGCAAUGCCGCGUGAGUGAUGAAGGCCUUAGGGUUGUAAAGCUCUUUUACCCGGGAUGAUAAUGACAGUACCGGGAGAAUAAGCGCCGGCUAACUCCGUG
rnacentral:rRNA from 1 species